UACAGAGGUCUCAAGCGUUGUUCGGAAUCACUGGGCGUAAAGGGUGCGUAGGCCGCACGGUAAGUCAGAGGUGAAAUCCCGGAGCUCAACUUCGGAAUUGCCUCCGAUACUGCCGUGCUUGAGGACUGGAGAGGAGAUUGGAAUUCACAGUGGAGCAGUGAAAUGCGUAGAUAUUGUGAGGAACACUAGUGGCGAAGGAGAAUCUCUGGACAGUUCCUGACGCUGAGGCACGAAGGCCAGGGGA
rnacentral:rRNA from 1 species